UGAGGGAAUAUUUGGGUCAAUGGGCGAGAGCCUGAACCAGCCAAGUCGCGUGAGGGAAGAAUGGUCUAUGGCCUGUAAACCUCUUUUGUCAGGGAAGAAUAAGGAUGACGAGUCAUUCGAUGCCAGUACUUGACGAAUAAGCAUCGGCUAACUCCGUGCCAGCAGCCGCGGUAAUACGGGGGAUGCGAGCGUUAUCCGGAUUUAUUGGGUUUAAAGGGCGCGUAGGCGGGACGUCAAGUCAGCGGUAAAAGACUGCAGCUAAACUGUAGCACGCCGUUGAAACUGGCGCCCUGGAGACGAGACGAGGGAGGCGGAACAAGUGAAGCGGUGAAAUGCGUAGAUAUUAGGAGGAACACCAGUGGCGAAGGCGGCUUACUGGACUGUAACUGACGUUGAGGCUCGAAAGCGUGGGGAGCAAACAGGAUUAGAUACCCUGGUAGU
rnacentral:rRNA from 1 species